GUACUUAAUCUGACCAUCACAAACAUCACAUCAUCUGAUGAAGCAACAUAUUACUGCACAUGGACAGUGUAUCAACAGGUUAAAUUUGGAAAUGGAACGUUUUUGGCUCUCAAAGGUUUUAACCACAGCUAUAAUGAAGAUAGAGCAUUCAUCUGUGCAGUGGCCAACUGUGGACAAAUGAACACUGAAAAGAAGACAGUUUUGAACACAGAAAAAGCUGUGGAUCCUGUUGUUUAUGGGUUGGCUGCUGUGUUGGGACUGUGUUUUGUGCUCAUAUGUUACUUGGUCAGUUUAAUUUACCAAGACAGGAACCACAAACAUGACAAAGGUAUAUCAU